rnacentral:rRNA from 1 species
UGAGGAAUAUUGGACAAUGGAGGGGACUCUGAUCCAGCCAUGCCGCGUGCAGGAAGACUGCCCUAUGGGUUGUAAACUGCUUUUAUACAGGAAGAAACACUAGUACGUGUACUAGCUUGACGGUACUGUAAGAAUAAGGACCGGCUAACUCCGUGCCAGCAGCCGCGGUAAUACGGAGGGUCCGAGCGUUAUCCGGAAUCAUUGGGUUUAAAGGGUCCGCAGGCGGUCGAUUAAGUCAGAGGUGAAAUCCCAUAGCUUAACUAUGGAACUGCCUUUGAUACUGGUUGACUUGAGUCAUAUGGAAGUAGAUAGAAUGUGUAGUGUAGCGGUGAAAUGCAUAGAUAUUACACAGAAUACCGAUUGCGAAGGCAGUCUACUACGUAUGUACUGACGCUCAUGGACGAAAGCGUGGGGAGCGAACAGGAUUAGAUACCCUGGUAGUCCACGCCGUAAACGAUGGACACUAGUUGUUGGGAUUUAUCUCAGUGACUAAGCGAAAGUGAUAA